GCAAAAGCAAAACAUCGGUAGCCCUAAUCCCUAAUUGCAGUGCCACACCACCACCUCGCCUUGCGCCUGGCAAGGUGUCGUCUACGAGAACGACCGUGUCGUGCUCCUCCGCCGGCCUGACUUCGGCUUCAUUGGCCAUAUCCCCAUCCUCCGGUUCUUGGCAACUUCACUGUUCUCCAUACCAUCAGCCUCUGGUUCAACGCGGUCUUCGGUGCCAACCCCUCCGACCUUGCCUUGCUCUCCCAACGUCGCAAUCGCUUCUUAGGCGGGGUUAGGGACGCUCACGGGUUGAAGAAAACUAGCUCACCGGCGAGAUCUCGAAUCUCGACCUCCCAAAUCUGGUUCAAUUCAACGUGUCCUACAACCAAUUGAAUGGAUCGGUGUCGCUGAAGCUCUAAAGCAAGCCAGUAGAGAUGUUUCUCGGUAUGUCACUCUGCGGUGGUCCUCUCACUCCCUGCCCGAUGUGAUCUCACCCAUGAGCUCUAUUCCCUCUCCUCCCAGUAGUGAAGCCAAGAAGGACCAUAAGCUUUCAGGCGGCGCCAUCGCCAGAAUCACUAUCGGGGUUGUCGUCGAGUUCGUGUUGCUUCUCCUAAUCAUCAUCCUCCUCUACAUGAGAAAAUCUAGCAAGUCAGGGACCAUUGCGGUGGCGGCGAAGCUGCCUAAAUUUAUGUCGCCCUUCGUGACAAAGGCAUUGUCAACGGAGAGCCAGAGAAUGGAGUGCCUCAUCGUCCACCACCGACAUCAGUGGCGGACCCCGGCGAAGGGAGAGAAUACCAAGAAGCUGCUAUUCUUUCGGACGGGGCUGAGGACGUUUGAGCUUGAGGACUUGUUGAGGGUAUCAGCGAAGGUUCUGGGCAAUGGGACCUUUGGGACAGUGUACAAAGCUUAGCUGGAGAUUGGGACGGUAGUGGCCGUGAAGAGGUUGAGGGAUGUGAGCUUACCUAAUAAGGAGUUCAAGGAGAAGAUUGAGGCUGUGUGCGCCAUGGAUCACCCAAAUUUUGUUCCUCUCUGAGCUUAUUACUACAACAAUGAUGAGAAGGUCCUGGUUUAUGACUACAUGUCCAUGGGAAGCCUUUCUAAUCUAUUGCAUGGACUGUUUUGGCCGUCCGAUUGCAAGUGCACUGGAUGCUUAGUUUGAUGUUUUCGAACAUUUUUCGAAUGAAAAUAACAAGACAUUGCAACGUAGCACAAAUACUACUAAAUGUCUCAAUCUAGGAUCAUACAACUACCUUGGCUUCAUUGCUGCAGACGAAUACUGCACUCCUCGAGUUAUUGAGUCUUUGAAGAAGUUUUUACCCAGUACCUGUAGCGUUUGUGACAAUGCGGGUAAAAAUCCGUAUUCCUGCAGUUUAUGUUUGAGAAUGCAUGUUUAGCAGUUUUACAACUCAGCUAAUUUUGAGGAGUUCUUUUGCAUGAACUACAAAGCUGCAUACUGAAUUAGAGGAGUUAGUUGCUCGAUUUGUUGGAAAGCCAGUAACCAUUUUUUUUUGGCAUUGGUUAUGCAACAAACUCUGCUAUUAUUCCUGCUCUGAUUAGCAAGGUUUGUCUGAUUUUACUAGAUCAGAGUUAAGAAUGUACGAAAUGCAAAAUUUUUGCUUAUCUUGAUUAUUCACAGGGAGGGUUGAUAAUCAGUGAUUCUUUGAAUCAUAACUCCAUUGUCAAUGGUUCUCAAGGAUAAGGUGCAGUAGUUAGGGUUUUCUAACAUAACAGUAAGGUUUUUGCUCUAUCUGAACUCAGUCAAACAUUAUCAAUAGCAGAUUUAACAUUUGCAACUUGUAUUUUUGGCUCCAUCUCACUUGGAGGAAGUGCUGAGAGAGUAGAUCGCAAAAGGAUUGUUGGAACAUUUGUAUGGAUUAUUUGUAUUUUUGGUAUGAAUGAAAUGUUGGAUUAGAUAUUUAAUGAGAUAAUUUAUUUUAUACA